rnacentral:rRNA from 1 species
AGUGAACGCUGGCGGUAGGCCUAACACAUGCAAGUCGAACGGCAGCACAGUAAGAGCUUGCUCUUACGGGUGGCGAGUGGCGGACGGGUGAGGAAUACAUCGGAAUCUACUUUUUCGUGGGGGAUAACGUAGGGAAACUUACGCUAAUACCGCAUACGACCUACGGGUGAAAGCAGGGGAUCUUCGGACCUUGCGCGAUUGAAUGAGCCGAUGUCGGAUUAGCUAGUUGGCGGGGUAAAGGCCCACCAAGGCGACGAUCCGUAGCUGGUCUGAGAGGAUGAUCAGCCACACUGAACUGAGACACGGUCCAGACUCCUACGGGAGGAAGCAGUGGGGAAUAUUGGACAAUGGGCGCAAGCCUGAUCCAGCCAUACCGCGUGGGUGAAGAAGGCCUUCGGGUUGUAAAGCCCUUUUGUUGGGAAAGAAAAGCAGCAGGUUAAUACCCCGCUGUUCUGACGGUACCCAAAGAAUAAGCACCGGCUAACUUCGUG